GACGAACGCUGGCGGCGUGCUUAACACAUGCAAGUCGAACGGAAAGGCCCUGCUUUUGUGGGGUGCUCGAGUGGCGAACGGGUGAGUAACACGUGAGUAACCUGCCCUUGACUUUGGGAUAACUUCAGGAAACUGGGGCUAAUACCGGAUAGGAGCUCCUGCUGCAUGGUGGGGGUUGGAAAGUUUCGGCGGUUGGGGAUGGACUCGCGGCUUAUCAGCUUGUUGGUGGGGUAGUGGCUUACCAAGGCUUUGACGGGUAGCCGGCCUGAGAGGGUGACCGGCCACAUUGGGACUGAGAUACGGCCCAGACUCCUACGGGAGGCAGCAGUGGGGAAUAUUGCACAAUGGGCGGAAGCCUGAUGCAGCAACGCCGCGUGCGGGAUGACGGCCUUCGGGUUGUAAACCGCUUUCGCCUGUGACGAAGCGUGAGUGACGGUAAUGGGUAAAGAAGCACCGGCUAACUACGUGCCAGCAGCCGCGGUGAUACGUAGGGUGCGAGCGUUGUCCGGAUUUAUUGGGCGUAAAGGGCUCGUAGGUGGUUGAUCGCGUCGGAAGUGUAAUCUUGGGGCUUAACCCUGAGCGUGCUUUCGAUACGGGUUGACUUGAGGAAGGUAGGGGAGAAUGGAAUUCCUGGUGGAGCGGUGGAAUGCGCAGAUAUCAGGAGGAACACCAGUGGCGAAGGCGGUUCUCUGGGCCUUUCCUGACGCUGAGGAGCGAGAGCGUGGGGAGCGAACAGGCUUAGAUACCCUGGUAGUCCACGCUGUAAACGGUGGGUACUAGGUGUGGGGUCCAUUCCACGGGUUCCGUGCCGUAGCUAACGCUUUAAGUACCCCGCCUGGGGAGUACGGCCGCAAGGCUAAAACUCAAAGGAAUUGACGGGGCCCCGCACAAGCGGCGGAGCAUGCGGAUUAAUUCGAUGCAACGCGUAGAACCUUACCUGGGUUUGACAUGGAUCGGGAGUGCUCAGAGAUGGGUGUGCCUCUUUUGGGGUCGGUUCACAGGUGGUGCAUGGCUGUCGUCAGCUCGUGUCGUGAGAUGUUGGGUUAAGUCCCGCAACGAGCGCAACCCUUGUUCACUGUUGCCAGCACGUUAUGGUGGGGACUCAGUGGAGACCGCCGGGGUCAACUCGGAGGAAAGUGGGGAUGACGUCAAGUCAUCAUGCCCCUUAUGUCCAGGGCUUCACGCAUGCUACAAUGGCUGGUACAGAGAGUGGCGAGCCUGUGAGGGUGAGCGAAUCUCGGAAAGCCGGUCUCAGUUCGGAUUGGGGUCUGCAACUCGACCUCAUGAAGUCGGAGUCGCUAGUAAUCGCAGAUCAGCAACGCUGCGGUGAAUACGUUCCCGGGGCU
rnacentral:rRNA from 1 species